GGAGUGACUGUAGCUCAGUGGCAGAGCAUCUGCCUUGCAUGUAGAAGGUCCCAGGUUCAAUCCCUGGCAUCUCCA
rnacentral:tRNA from 1 species